rnacentral:lncRNA from 1 species
UUUCCUGACUUCUUGAGCAAGAAAAGAAGAUCACUCAGUUGUAUCUCGAGAAUCAGCAGAACAGCCAACUGGGGCAUUACAAAAAAAAAGAACAAAAAAAAAAGAGGAGGGUGCAAAAUCAAAAGAAAUCAAAAGAAAUCAAGAAAGAUCAAAAAAGAAAGGAAAAAGAAAGAAAGAAACAAAAGAGAAAUAGCACCCUCAAAGUCCCAAGUUGACUGAUGCUGAAUGGAUUCAG